CCUACGGGAGGCUGCAGUAGGGAGUAUUGCGCAAUGGGGGAAACCCUGACGCAGCGACGCCGCGUGAGUGAUGACGGCCUUCGGGUUGUAAAACUCUGUCCUUGGGGAAGAAACAAAUGACGGUACCCAAGGAGGAAGCCCCGGCUAACUACGUGCCAGCAGCCGCGGUAAUACGUAGGGGGCGAGCGUUGUCCGGAAUUAUUGGGCGUAAAGGGUGCGUAGGCGGCCUUUUAAGUCAGAUGUGAAAGACCACAGCUUAACUGUGGGGUUGCAUUUGAAACUAGAAGGCUUGAGUAUCGGAGAGGGUAGUGGAAUUCCUAGUGUAGCGGUGAAAUGCGUAGAUAUUAGGAGGAACACCAGUGGCGAAGGCGACUACCUGGACGAAAACUGACGCUGAGGCACGAAAGCGUGGGGAGCAAACAGGAUUAGAUACCCUU
rnacentral:rRNA from 1 species